rnacentral:rRNA from 1 species
CCGAGAAUCUUCCGCAAUGGGCGAAAGCCUGACGGAGCGACACCGCGUGUAGGAUGAAGGUCUUCGGAUUGUAAACUACUGUCACUUGGGACGAGAUCGGCGACAUCUAAUAGAUGUCGCCGUUGACUGUACCAAGAGAGGAAGCCACGGCUAACUCUGUGCCAGCAGCCGCGGUAAUUCAGAGGUGGCGAGCGUUGUUCGGAUUGAUUGGGUGUAAAGGGUGCGUAGGCGGUUUGGAAAGGCGGGUGUGAAAUCCUAUGGCUUAACCAUAGAACUGCAUUCGAAACUUCCUAACUAGAGUGCGAGAGAGGUGAAGGGAAUUCCCGGUGUAAGGGUGAAAUCGGUAGAGAUCGGGAGGAACACCAGUAGCGAAGGCGCUUCACUGGCUCGUAACUGACGCUGAGUGCACGAAAGCGUGGGGAGCAAACG